CCAGGAAUACAGGGUCUCAAAUACCUGAACUAACAACACACCUUUUCAGGUUAGUACUUAAUUUAGCACUCUCAGAAUUCUUACUAACUUCUAAAUUUGUCUCACACACCCUUAAUCCGGAACCCUUAUAAUAUUUCUAGGAAUCUACUUCGUCCACCCCAUUGAAAUAAAUUCUCUUCAUCCACACAAACUGCAUAAAAACUUACAAAAAUUUAAAAAGUUCAUCACUUAACGUUUUUCCCUUCCUCAAAUAUCAACAUUUCCAUUUAGCACACUUUUUAGCCCUUGGAAUUAUAUGCUCCAAUCUAUUCAUUAUACUUACCGGCCUCAAGAAAUAUUAAAGAAAUGGCAAGUUUUAUAAACAAUCUCAUCCUGAUUUUUAUCAGAUUUGUUAACUUGUAUGUUGGAUCGGUUCUAAUUAUAGAAGAUUCCAUAGUUUGGGCUCAUUCUAUGAGAAACUACGUAAACUCGAAUAAAAUUAAUCACCACGAAGACAGAGUGCAAUUUCUGCUAAAAUUUGCACCCUGCGUAUUCACCCUUAUCGCCCUGUGGAUCGUCCUCGCCUUAUCGGUACUACAUUCAACAUUGACCUACCUCGCGUGUGGGGCAAGAUGGGGGAUCCGGUUUGCAAAAGUGGCAAAAUUUUUUGCGACCGUGUCCUACUGCCAAAUUAUCUUGAUUCUUUUGUACAAUUUGAGUCUGGAAAGUCUGCGAUGCGAAGAUUCUUAUCUCAGUAAAUUAGGAAAUAUCGAGUUGUCAGCGGGUACAUAUUUAUUUAUUGGCGUUAUCCAAUACAAUUUUGCUUUUGUGCAUGCAAAUUUCAUUGCGAGGCUGGAAAGCGAAUUAAGAAAGGCAGAGGAAGAAGAGCAGGUGAAAAAAGUUGAGAAGAUAUCUUUGCGCGAGAAAUGUAAAGAUGUUGAUUUAGAACAGGUCGUCACAGAGAAAUAAGUUGAUUCGUAAGAAAUCAAUUCAAUUAAAAUUUUGUAUAGGCAUAGCAAAUUUGACUGUAAAUUACAGUCUGCAACACGUAUUAUUUUUUUGCAUACUUGAAAAAGUUAUACAUAGUUCAGGGAAACUUUAAGCUUUUAAAUGGAUAACGUUUCUAAAUUUUAUGACAUUGUUUUUAGCUGUAAUUUGUUUACAAAUUGGUUAUUAGUAGACAUUGAAUUGUGCAAGUUUGCUAUUUGAGAUUUACUAACGUAUGUACAUAUAUAAACACACUUUAUUAAUUUUGAAACUCAAUUAAUAAUUUAAAAUUCACGAAAUAAAUGCUGCUAUCUUAACUACCAU